rnacentral:tRNA from 1 species
UCUAAUAUGGCAGAAUAGUGCUAUGAACCUAAAAUUCAAAUAUAAAGUAAAUUUUUUUUAGAA